rnacentral:rRNA from 1 species
AUUGAACGCUGGCGGCAUGCCUUACACAUGCAAGUCGAACGGCAGCACGGGAGCAAUCCUGGUGGCGAGUGGCGAACGGGUGAGUAAUAUAUCGGAACGUGCCCAGUCGUGGGGGAUAACGCAGCGAAAGCUGUGCUAAUACCGCCUACGAACUAUGGAUGAAAGUGGGGGAUCGCCAGACCUCCUGCGAUUGGAACUGCCGAUAGCAGAGUAGCUAGGUGGUGGGGUAAAGGCCCACCAAGGCGACGAUCUGUAGCUGGUCUGAGAGGACGACCAGCCACACUGGAACUGAGACACGGUCCAGACUCCUACGGGAGGCAGCAGUGGGGAAUUUUGGACAAUGGGCGCAAGCCUGAUCCAGCAAUGCCGCGUGCAGGAUGAAGGCCUUCGGGUUGUAAACUGCUUUUGUACGGAGCGAAACGGUCUGCCCUAAUACGGUGGGCUAAUGACGGUACCGUAAGAAUAAGCACCGGCUAACUACGUGCCAGCCGCCGCCGUAA